rnacentral:misc_RNA from 1 species
UGCAUCAGCACGUUCAACUAGUUGCUAAGUUAAAAUAGUGUUAUAAUAAUGAUUGAAAUAAUGUUAAAAUUAUGAUCAAAAAAAUAAUGAAUUUACAACAUGACUACUUUUUCUGUCAACAUACAGGGAGAGUCAGAUAGAGUACAGAUAAUAAAUGAAAUUAUUUUCAGAGCCAAGUGUGAUGGUAUACCAGCAUCAUGGAAAAAUUAGUGGAAGCAGGCCUUACGGAAAUCGGCGGGUUCAUAAAAUUGAAUGCAGAAAUCACUUGCUCAAAAAUUGCUGCAAUAAAAUCCGCGAAAUAAGUAAAAGACCACGAAGCAACGUUAUAAAACCAAUGAGACACCGAGCGUCGGAUUCUAGUGAGGACUUGCCACAGAAAGUAACUUCACUAAAAAAAAGGACAUAUUAAAUAGUCUACAUCACAUUUUUGGUAACCACGAAAAAUAUGAUGUGUAUUAUCGCACAGGUCCAAAACCCACAAAAAAAAAUUUAGUUCCUGAUGUGGUCGAAUGUUUUUCAAGGCUUAAAGUCAUGUUUACAUAGAUUAGAAUAUAUUGCCUACAGCCCCAUCCUCAACAUGACUAAUAAUUCUGCCGAAUCAUGCAAUUCCAUUGUAUGUAAAUUUAUUGGUGGCAAAAGAAUUAAUUUUAGUUUGCGAAAUUCGUAUGAAAUGAGAUGUAAAGCUACUGGCAUAUCACACAGUAAUGCCAGAAAUUAUUACGAGGUCUUACACAAUGCCUUAAGUAAAAAAACUUCCAGUAUUACCAAAAAAUAUAUGUUGAAGAAGAGAAUAAUAAACAGACAUCGAGAUACACCGCGGAAGAAAAACCGUCUACCUCCUGCCUUUGCAGACGAAAAUUACGGGGAAAAAGAUCCUACGAUCCUGCCAUUACAAACAUGUCAGAGGAAAAGUUUUCUGAUGAAUUUUACUUAAAAAAAAACUGCUGGGGAAAGUUCUGUGGUGGAAAUAUCCACCAGCGGCCAAAGUUCGAAUCCCUUGUGGCUAAAAGAACGUCGAAAACAGCUGACAGCGUCAAAUUUCGGAAAAACACUAUAAAAGCUCUUUUGUAUAGAAAAACCACUGAAUCAAAACCAAAUAAUUAUGGAAGAGAAUGUGAGACCAUCCCAAAAGCAGAGUUUUGUACUAAAACUAGUUUGGUUGUUGAAAAGUGUGGUUUGCUUAUAGGUAAGGACGAAGAGUAUUUUUUGACUGCUAAUCCUGACGAUCUUGUUGGCAAUAAGGCAAAAAUUUCAUAUAAAGUGUCCUUAUACUGCAAGGGAUAUGACGGUGGAGGAGGCUAUAGAGCAAAGGAAAAUCGAGUUUUGAAAAUCUAUCUCUUUAAUCAAUCUCUUUAAAAUAUAUCUCUUUAAAUGCUUCUCUCACUGAAAGAGGUGAAAUAAAAAAAAAACUUCAUUUAAGUGGACGGGAGGUGGACAAAGAAAAAUUUCGCCUGUUAGAAGAUCCAAAAACAACGAGCAUUAUGGGAAAAUAUGCAAAAAAAUUUUAAAAAUUUAUAUUUCAAAUGUGUACUACCAAAAUUAGUAGAUCCUAGGUUUUCCAGAUCUCCACCUCACAAUAUAAUUCGGAAUCCCGAUCAAAGAGAUUGACUCUAAAAAACGAUUAUGGAGUUCAGUACGCUGUUUAUCCAAGUCAACAACAAGUCGAAUAUGCACCUAAAAAACUGCGUCAACGCGAAAAGGAAG